GACGAACGCUGGCGGCGUGCCUAAUACAUGCAAGUCGAGCGAAUCGAUGGGAGCUUGCUCCCUGAGAUUAGCGGCGGACGGGUGAGUAACACGUGGGUAACCUGCCUGUAAGACUGGGAUAACUUCGGGAAACCGGAGCUAAUACCGGAUAAUUUCUUUUCUCGCAUGAGGGGAGAUGGAAAGAUGGUUCUGCUAUCACUUACAGAUGGACCCGCGGCGCAUUAGCUAGUUGGUGAGGUAACGGCUCACCAAGGCGACGAUGCGUAGCCGACCUGAGAGGGUGAUCGGCCACACUGGGACUGAGACACGGCCCAGACUCCUACGGGAGGCAGCAGUAGGGAAUCUUCCGCAAUGGACGAAAGUCUGACGGAGCAACGCCGCGUGAGCGAAGAAGGCCUUCGGGUCGUAAAGCUCUGUUGUUAGGGAAGAACAAGUACGAGAGUAACUGCUCGUACCUUGACGGUACCUAACCAGAAAGCCACGGCUAACUACGUGCCAGCCGCCGCGGUAAAAC
rnacentral:rRNA from 1 species